GGGGGCGUGGCGGAAUGGUAGACGCUGCGGAUUUAAAAUCCGUUGACUGUAAAAGUCGUGGGGGUUCAAGUCCCCCCGCCCCCA
rnacentral:tRNA from 1 species